AUUGAACGCUGGCGGCAGGCCUAACACAUGCAAGUCGAGCGGGGCGGCGGACGGAUGAGUAAUGCCUAGGAAUCUGCCUGGUACUUGGGGAUAACGACCGGAAACGGGCGCUAAUACCGCAUACUUUCAGUUUAGCCUAGGUCGUAUUAGCUAGUUGGUGGGGUAAAGGCCUACCAAGGCCACACUCCCUAACUGGUCUGAGAGGAUGAUCAGUCACACUGGAACUGAGACCCGGUCCAGACUCCUACGGGAGGCAGCAGUGGGGAAUAUUGGACAAUGGGCGAAAGCCUGAUCCAGCCAUGCCGCGUGUGUGAAGAAGGUCUUCGGAUUGUAAAGUACUUUCAGCGGGGAGGCGUUACCCGCAGAAGAAGCACCGGCUAACUCCGUGCCAGCCGCCGCGGUAAUAC
rnacentral:rRNA from 1 species